rnacentral:rRNA from 1 species
CUCAUGGUUUCACGGUAUUGCAAUGAGAACAAUUUAAAACCCUUAGCGAGAAUCAAGUGGAGGACAAGUCUGGUGCCAGCACCCGCGGUAAUUCCAGCUCCACUAGCGUAUAUUAAAGUUGUUGCAGUUAAAAAGCUCGUAGUUGAACCUCUGUCUGGGGCUAGUUUUGGCUUUGGUCAGGCUAGUUCUAGGCAUCCGCCUACAAGACUUAGAGGGCAUUCAGUUGUUCACUAGGAGGAGUAGGCAUUUUACUUUGAAAAAAUUAGAGUGUUUAAGGCAGGCAAUCGCCCGCAUAUAUUAGCAUGGAAUAAUAGAAUAGGACACUUUUCCAUUUCGUUGGUUAUUGGAAUCGUGUAAUGAUUAAUAGGGACAGUUGUGGGCAUUUGUAUUUAAUUGUCAGAGGUGAAAUUCUUGGAUUUAUUAAAGACAAACUAACGCGAAAGCAUUUGCCAAGGAUGUUUUCAUUAAUCAAGAACGAAAGUUAGGGGAUCAAAGACGAUCAGAUACCGUCCUAGUCUUAACUAUAAACUAUUCCGACUCAAUGUUUGACUGGCUUAUAUAACCAGUUGAGCGUUGUAUGAGAAAUCAAAGUCUUUAGGUUCUGGGGGGAGUAUGGUUGCAAAGCUGAAACUUAAAGGAAUUGACGGAAGAGCACAACCAGGAGUGGAUUCUGCGGCUUAAUUUGACUCAACACGGGGAAACUUACCAGGUUAAAACAAUAGUGGGAUUGACAGUUUGAGAGCGCUUUCUUGAUUGGUUGGGUGGUGGUGCAUGGCCGUUCUUAGUUGGUGGAGUGAUUUGUCUGCUUAAUUGCGUUAACGAACGAGACCUUAACCUGCUUACUAGACUGGCGAACAUCAAUCGUUAGCUCUUCUUAGAGGGACUUUGGUUGUUUUAACUCCAAGGAAGUUUGAGGCAAUAACAGGUCUGUGAUGCCCUUAGAUAUCCUGGGCCGCACGCGUCAUACAAUGACUAGUUCAGAAAGUUUUCUCCUGACCCGAAAGGGGAUGGGUAAUCUUGAUAAUACUAGUCGUGUUAGGGAUCGAUCCUUGCAAUUAUAGAUCUUGAACGAGGAAUUCCUAGUAAGUGCGGUUCAUCAGACCGUACUGAUUACGUCCCUGCUCUUUGUACACACCGCCCGUCGCUUCUACCGAGUGGGUGGUCCGGUGAGAUAAUUGAACUUCGCAGGUAACUGAGAGGAAAGAUUAUCAAACCUAUCCACCU